rnacentral:misc_RNA from 1 species
GAUGAAGAACGCAGCGAAAUGCGAUACGUAAUGUGAAUUGCGAAUUCAGUGAAUCAUCGAGUCUUUGAACGCACAUUGCGCCCCCUGGUAUUCCGGGGGGCAUGCCUGUCCGAGCGUCAUUGCUGCCCUCAAGCACGGCUUGUGUGUUGGGCCCCGUCCUCCGAUCCCGGGGGACGGGCCCGAAAGGCAGCGGCGGCACCGCGUCCGGUCCUCGAGCGUAUGGGGCUUUGUCACCCGCUCUGUAGGCCCGGCCGGCGCUUGCCGAUCAACCCAAAUUUUUUAUCCAGGUUGACCUCGGAUCAGGUAGGGAUACCCGCUGAACUUAAGCAUAUCAAUAAGCGGAGGA